AGAGUUUGAUUCUGGCUCAGAACGAACGCUGGCGGCGUGGAUAAGACAUGCAAGUCGAACGGGAGAAUUGCUAGCUUGCUAAUAAUUCUCUAGUGGCGCACGGGUGAGUAACACGUGAGUAACCUGCCUCUUAGUGGGGGAUAGCCCUGGGAAACCGGGAUUAAUACCGCAUACGAUUGAAAGAUCAAAGCAGCAAUGCGCUAGGAGAUGGGCUCGCGGCCUAUUAGUUAGUUGGUGAGGUAACGGCUCACCAAGGCGAUGACGGGUAGCCGGUCUGAGAGGAUGUCCGGCCACACUGGAACUGAGACACGGUCCAGACACCUACGGGUGGCAGCAGUCGAGAAUCAUUCACAAUGGGGGCAACCCUGAUGGUGCGACGCCGCGUGGGGGAAUGAAGGUCUUCGGAUUGUAAACCCCUGUCAUGUGGGAGCAAAUUAAAAAGAUAGUACCACAAGAGGAAGAGACGGCUAACUCUGUGCCAGCAGCCGCGGUAAUACAGAGGUCUCAAGCGUUGUUCGGAAUCACUGGGCGUAAAGCGUGCGUAGGCUGUUUCGUAAGUCGUGUGUGAAAGGCAGGGGCUCAACCCCUGGAUUGCACAUGAUACUGCGAGACUAGAGUAAUGGAGGGGGAACCGGAAUUCUCGGUGUAGCAGUGAAAUGCGUAGAUAUCGAGAGGAACACUCGUGGCGAAGGCGGGUUCCUGGACAUUAACUGACGCUGAGGCACGAAGGCCAGGGGAGCGAAAGGGAUUAGAUACCCCUGUAGUCCUGGCAGUAAACGGUGCACGCUUGGUGUGCGGGGAAUCGACCCCCUGCGUGCCGGAGCUAACGCGUUAAGCGUGCCGCCUGGGGAGUACGGUCGCAAGAUUAAAACUCAAAGAAAUUGACGGGGACCCGCACAAGCGGUGGAGUAUGUG
rnacentral:rRNA from 1 species